rnacentral:rRNA from 1 species
UACGAAGGGGGCUAGCGUUGCUCGGAAUCACUGGGCGUAAAGCGCACGUAGGCGGAUUGUUAAGUCAGGGGUGAAAUCCUGGAGCUCAACUCCAGAACUGCCUUUGAUACUGACGGUCUUGAGUUCGGGAGAGGUGAGUGGAACUGCGAGUGUAGAGGUGAAAUUCGUAGAUAUUCGCAAGAACACCCGUGGCGAAGGCGGCCCUCUGGCUCGACCCUGACGCUGAGAGGCGAAAGCGUGGGGAGCGAACGGG